rnacentral:lncRNA from 1 species
AGAGCACUUGCCAUUGCUUUUAUCAAGUGCUUGCUAGCCAUGGAUGCCAACUAACUUCUUCAAUUGAAGGCCGGAGGAUCAUAUCGGGUUCCAGGAGCCUCUUGAGCAGGUCCUGGCAAUCGGCCGAGAUGCUCAGAUGAGUGGGGAAGGACACCCCCUUCUGCUGCUGCCACAGCAUCUUGGGGAUGUCUGUGUCGUCAAAAGAGACCUGCCCGGCUCCGCCUGGACCGGAGCGUUCUCCCGCGGCCAGGGCUCCGGCAGCUGCUUCUAGCCUGGGACCGGUCUCAACCGCCGGGAGAGCGCCCCGGGGCUUGGACAUGAGCGCCCAGGAGCCCCCGCAGGGUCGGAGAUUCCCCAUUGAGGCCGGAGACUCCCGUGGCCUUGCCGCCGCCCCCGAGUCCCAGGACAGCCCGGAGGCGGUAGCGACGGAGCACAACCCGGUCAGG